CUCCCUCAGCCUUACUCCAGGGGCCUUUGCUGUAAGGUGCCCUGGCAUUGCCUGGGGGCACACGAAAAAGCGCACAUCCCUCCCCAGGAAGGCUCCGUUCUCCUGUGGGGCCUACUGAUUGCGCUGACAGC
rnacentral:snoRNA from 12 species